UACGAAGGGGGCAAGCGUUAGUCGGAAUUACUGGGCGUAAAGGGCUCGUAGGCGGCCAACUAAGUCAGACGUGAAAUCCCUCGGCUUAACCGGGGAACUGCGUCUGAUACUGGAUGGCUUGAGUUUGGGAGAGGGAUGCGGAAUUCCAGGUGUAGCGGUGAAAUGCGUAGAUAUCUGGAGGAACACCGGUGGCGAAGGCGGCAUCCUGGACCAACACUGGCGCUGAGUGAGCGAAAGCCAGGGGAGCAAACGGG
rnacentral:rRNA from 1 species